UGAAAUACACAAAUUAUCUAUCUUUCUUCUGCCUCUUCUUUCCUUUCUCGCUCUCUUCUCAGUCUCUUCUGUCAUUUCUUUCUCCCUUCUUCUAAAAAUCAACAACACAGAUACCCGAGUGUAUCAAGUUGUCAAGACUCUUGCUUUCUUCUGAUAGGUUCUUCUCACAAGGAUCUGUUUUCUCUUCUUUUCUGAAGUAGCUCCUUUAUUUUUUAUUGUAGUAGAAAAUUCUUCAUCAGAUGAGUUAUCAGCUCUGGAUUUGGACGAAGAGUUCGCCGGCGUCGAGUUUGCAGAGCCGUCAAACAAGGAGAUACAAGUGUUGUUGUCACCGAUAGACUUAUAGGAGCUUGUGUUUUCCACCACUUUGUCUUCUCUUUAUAAUCCAUUCUCGACAUUUUAAUCUAACUUCUCUGAAUCUGUGAGAAGAGCUAACUCGGCUGGAGUAGAAACCAAGUAGUGUGGUGAAUUUUGUAGUUGUGGUGAUUUGGAACUCGAUUUGUCUUCUCCAUCCACAGUUCCUCCAACGUCUUCAAAACAAGGGACCCAUGUCGAUCCUGAAUGAAUCUUCAAGGUCCACAUACAAGCUUCUCGUCAUCUGUAAAUUUUGGAGCUCCUCUGAUCACUUCAUGUUGACCAAUGUUGUCAAAUUUCCAAUAUUCAUGUGUCCCAGCUUUUGAUGCCAUAGGUGUAGAUCAUCUCUGGCACUAAGACAGUUAUCUGAAGGCUUCCACAUAUAACAAUCAUUACCUGCUCUUACACCUCUCAGCAUGAUAAUUCCUUUAUCAUCAAUUGCACGUCAUUCAGUUCGGGUGAAGAUGACUUGAAGGCCUUGAUCACAUAACUGAGCGACGCUGAUCAAAUUUGCUUUCAAGCCUUCAACAUAGAAUACAUUGAUGAGUGAAGGUUGAUCUGGACUCUGUGUCACACCUUUUCCUUUGAUGCUUUCUUUGACACCAUCACCGAAGGUUUUUAAAUUUUGAAGCCAGCAUGUCAAGUUGACUCCUUUUGACAUUCAUUGUUUCUUCAUACACACGUUGUAGCGUUUCCCAUGCAACCGUAGCAGACUUGCAACUCUGUAUUAGCUUGAACUGUUUUACUUUCACGGAUUUGAAGAUCUCCCUCAGCGCUUUGGAAUUCCACUUUGACAGAGUCUUGUCAUCGUCGGUUCAUUCUGCUUUAGGUUUGGGAAUAUCUUUUCCGUCUUUGUCUUUCUUGGUUGGUGGUUUCCACCCUUCUUCCACACCUGUCCAUGCAUCUUCGUCAAUACUAUUGAUGAUUUCUGUCAUCUUUGAUUUCCACCAUCCAUAUGUUGCUUUGUUUAGAACAGGUUAUUUCACAAGAACAACUUCUCUAGAG